GGGAGAAGCUGCAUUUCUGACUCAUCUGGUGGUUUCUUAAAUAUUUUGUUACUUCUUAUAGGUGGCAAAGAAACACAGCAUGAUGUUUGGAAAUACAAUUCUUCAAUCAACAAGUGGAUUCAGAUUGAAUAUUUAAACAUCGGCCGCUGGAGGCAUAAAAUGGUGGUGUUGGGUGGCAAGGUCUAUGUCAUUGGAGGUUUUGAUGGCUUACAGAGGAUCAACAAUGUGGAGACCUACGACCCCUUCCACAACUGCUGGUCGGAGGUAUGGGAGAUUAUUUCUAUGACUAACUCUAUCUGUAUUAUUACUUCAGAGCUAAAAAAAAAAAAAAGAAAGGCACAUGCCUAUGACGGUGGCCAGCAUUUUGAUUGCCUUGCUCCUAUGGAGAACAUUUUUGGUGGCUCUGAACAUUCCCUUCCCUAGGAGUCAGGGCUUCAGCAUUGCUGAUCAAGGCAAAGCAAUAAUGUCCUUCCAGGUGGGGAGGCUUUCUCUGGGCAGCCAGAGCCCUCUGUGUGGAGGCUGUGGAGGGGAGGCUUACCCUGCCCUGAGAUGGUAGAUCCCAUGGCACAUGUCUGGCUCAGAAUCUUGUCCCCUCAGAUGCAUUCCAUGAGAUUCGUCUCCACACCAGGCAUGCGGGCAUCCGCACACUGCACUGUUUGUGAACCUAGAGUCAUUUGGUCAUGUUUAGAAGUCAGCCCUUAUUUAUUUCCCCAUUAAUGAUGAACCAUUUACAUGCCCACAUGUAAGACUCUCAAUGUGACCUCAGGUGUAUGUCAUACCCAGGAAAAGUAAAGUGACUUCGCCUCCUGUAGUUCCAGGUUAUUCUCAAGUUCAAAUUUUCUUUCUUCUCAUCAGAGCAUAUUCCAGCUUUGGGAAGUAUAAAACACAGUCACUGUAGGUACAAGCAAAGGUCCCCAGAUCACCACAACAUCCAAAGAAGGCCUGUCAACCUGAAAAGUGCUAUAUAGGGAGCCCUUAACAUCUCUGGGGGUGUGCCCAACAUGUUCCCCAAUCAUCAAGUCCCAUCAUAAAGUUACUCCAUGACUCAAAGGGGUUAUGCAAAUAGGUAAUAGGCUCUUGAAAUUCUUUUUAGUAUCCUGGGAUUUACAAGGUAGAAGUACAAGUCUGUCUUAAUCCCCAAAGUUGCAAUGUGCCCCCAAAUGGCUGGUUAAACCCAUAUACUAGCUUUUCUUCCUGGAUAUAAACACUAAAGACAAUCAAUGCUGUCACAUAGUAGGUACUCAGAUAUUUUCUGAAUGAACAUGUAAAUGAAUAUAUAUGUUUGAAAAAUCAUUUUCCUCCAACAUUGGCUGACUUCAUCUAUAUAACACUAAUUUCUGCCUGUACCCUCUCCUUCCUUGAGAACUAGACUCGGGAAAACAGGUGGGAACAUCCCAACACACAGCUUGCCCUAGCCUGCCUGUAUGGAGGCUGGGAAAUGCAUGCUUUGAUUCUCUCCACAUCUUAAGGAGAGUCAAGCCCACAGGCCUUGUCAGUUCAGGAGAAGGAUGCCCAGGUUUGCAUCCCAGGACAUAUGUCCUGUGAGUUCUUCCAGCAAUUUAGGCAGCAUAGCUGACACCUUUUUCUUGUGCCCCAUGCCUCUGCAGGCUGCACCCCUCCUUGUCCAUGUCAGUUCUUUCGCCGCCACCAGCCACAAGAAGAAGCUCUAUGUGAUUGGGGGAGGGCCUAAUGGAAAACUGGCCACAGACAAAACUCAGUGUUAUGACCCUUCCACCAAUAAAUGGACUUUAAAGGCAGCCAUGCCUGUGGAGGCUAAAUGCAUCAAUGCAGUGAGUUUCCGGGACCGCAUCUAUGUUGUUGGUGAGUGAGUGACAGCUUUUUAUUUAUCUGAGGUCCCCCUUCAUGCAGCUAUGCCAGAGAUCAGAUAUAAUUCUCUUGAGAAUUCCUGGAUGAAGUGGGUAGAGCUGAAAAGGAAGAAAAGUUGGGGUUGGUUCAGGUCUUGGUGGAUUUUCCUUUACAGUCCUAAAGGCAGAAUAAAAACUGUUUAGGGGUAACAAAACAGAUGGACACUGUGGCCCAGAGGAAGAGGCCUGAAGUCAUUGCAGGAGGAAAGUUGUUUUGCAAACAUUAGGAAUGUAUAGAAGUUGAAAUGUGCAUGGUAUAAUAAGUGCUCAACCAGUGGCAGCUAUUAUUACUUCCUAGUUUGUGUUCAUGGAAAUUUCUCUCUCGCUGCUUUUUAAGGGCUCUGAAAAGUUACAUUUAGUUGAGAGAAAAGUCUAGCCAGCCAGACCACAGUUGGCAUGUAUUUGUUAAGGAUGGUGGCUCCCAGUUAGAAUAACCAGGGAGCUUUUGAAAAAACUAUGGAUAACUGGUUCCUACCCCAGACCAAUGAAAUCAGAAUUCAGGAGGGAAGGAGGUUGCUGGGGAACAGUACAAUUUAUUAUUAUUUUUUUAAUCUCCGGGUGAUUUUAAUGAGCAGCCAGGGUAGAGAACUACUGAUGAAGGAGAUGCCGAGAUGCCAAGAUGCCAGGAAAUAAAUAACUUCAGUGAAUGAGAGCUAAUCAGAGAAGGCAUUUGGGGGCAAAACAUUGGAACAGAUUAAGGGGAAAACACUUUUCUCCCUUGCUUUAGAUUUCUCCUGUGUUCAUGGUUAGUUUCCUGACUGUUCCAAAAGUCUAAUCUCAAGAUGGUUACCUUGGGCUUGUGUCUCAGAUCAUGCUGAGUCUCUGAAGAGAUGCCAACCCGGCUACUGCCAGGGAUGGAUGAUUUCUAUCAACCAGUGCUCUACCGGAUGCUUUAUGUGCAUCUUAGGACCACCAUGGUCUUGGUGCCCAUGGUAACAGAAUAAAAAGUGCAGAGCUGGGAUUAUGGACCACAUCUUCCAAAGGCACCAUAUUUCUUCCCAGGAGCAGUCUUAAGGUACAUUUUGGUAGCUACGUUAAGCCAGUUGUUCUUUAGAAACCACGACUGCAGAAUUGGAAGGACAUUGUGAGUCAUCUCGGUGGCAACUUGCUGCUCCUAGGAUGCAUCCUGGCUUUCUGGGAAAGGGCCAUCAAUCCACUGUUUCUCUUGGCAAGAUGGGAGUCCUGCCCUAACCGGAAGUAGAAUUUUAGUGGCUAACGGGAUAGAAACCCAGAAAAAUGGUAGGAUGCUUCCCCUGUGUGUUCUUCCUCUCCAGGAGGGGCCAUGAGAGCGCUGUACGCCUACAGCCCUCUGGAGGACAGCUGGUGCCUGGUGACGCAGCUCAGCCACGAGCGGGCCAGCUGCGGCAUCGCGCCCUGCAACAACCGGCUCUACAUCACCGGCGGGCGGGACGAGAAGAACGAGGUCAUCGCCACUGUACUGUGUUGGGACCCCGAGGCUCAGAAACUGACGGAGGAGUGCGUCCUGCCCCGGGGGGUGUCGCACCACGGCAGCGUCACCAUCAGGAAGUCCUACACCCACAUCCGGAGGAUCGUGCCCGGAGCUGUGUCUGUGUGACUGACAAGGGACCCUGGAGGGCGCCACCGGGAGCACUUAGUUCUACCUUGCGCCCUUCAUCCGUGUCCACCCGCAGGCUCCGCUUGUGUUUAAGGCCAUGAAUCGGGAGCGCACCCGGCUUGCUCUGGGGCACCUAGCAAGUCACGACUUUGGAACACUUGAAAAUGGCCAGGAAUGUUUGCAUGACCUACCUCAGGAGGAAGGAUGGAAGAAGAGUAAUAUUUAACAUUUGCGACACUUCUACCCUAUGCCAGGUCUUUUUCUAUAUUAACUCAUUUAACCAUGGGAAUGACCGCCUGCUGGGAUAUUGUCACUCUAGUCUGAGAAGAAACUGAGUUUCAGAAAGGUCAAGUGGCUUGCCCCCGGGUACUCAUUUAGCAAGUAGCUAUGCCAGGAGUAUAAACCCAAGUCUUUCCAGUUCAAAGCCAAUGUCCUCCCCACCAUGUGCCUAACUGAGAGGAGGAAAAUCAAAACCCAAACCUGACUCAGGUCUUGUUCUGGCCAGUCUGUUAGAAGAUUGACUCAGCAAGGCAGGGAAAUAAAGGUGUUUCUUUUUCCUUUUUUUUUUUUCCUUUUCACUCCUGUAUUUAAAUCUUAUGAAAUCCUUAGUGUUGGAGACUUUGGGGGCUUUUGUCAAGAGUGUCUCAUAGGCUGUCCCACUUGACAGGGGAGGCAGUUCUGGGAAGACCAGUUUGUAUUGAAAGAGAUAAAAAGUUUUGUUCUCCUGGCAUCAAAGCUUUUCUUUUUUAUGGUCACUGGAUGGCCCAUUUUGGACUUGAACUGACAUUGCCAGAUGGAAUUACCUUCACCACAGUCUGGUGCCUGGACUCUUAAUGUCCAACAGUUGUACUGUAAUGUAGAAAAGAGGUUUCCAGAGACUCAAACUAUUGUUUUUUAAAUAUGUAAACAUCUCAACACUGCUGGCCACUGCAGGAAUGUCAGAUUCUUCUUGACAGUGUACUUUCUACUUUAAGACUGUGAUCUGGACCCACUCACCUGAAGUUUUCAGGAUAUUUUAAAGCCUAUCUUCUUGAGUUUUGAAUAAGCUUGGCUCAAUUUUGAUUCUAAGAACAGAGUCUGCCCUUCACUCUAAGAAAAGAACUUUCAAAUGAGCUCACUGGAAAUUCAUUCUAAUCCCCAAGAUAGAGAAACAGGUUAAGAGAUCCUGUUUCAUACGCUGUAGUUAAAAACAUAGCAACUGCAUUACCCCAGGUACUUUAUUUUCAUUGUAUGAUUUCAGUUCUCUUUAUAGAGUUUUAGUUCAUGUCAGAAGGGGCAUAUUGUGCUUGUACAAUAUGUACAGUGGUUUGGGAAGUCAGAGGUAUUAGAGUUGAUAGUGAACUUAAUUUACAGAAAAAAAGUUAAGGUCAAGUCAAGUGUGGUGGUCUAAGCCUGUAAUCCCAGGGACUUGGGCGGCUGAGGCAGGAGGAUCGCAACUUCCAGGUCAGCCUAGGCAACUUAGUGAGCCCCUGUUUCAAAAUAAAAUUAAAAGGGUAGGGAUGUACUCAGUGGUAGAGUACCCCUGGAUUCAAUCCCCAGUUCCACAAAAGGAAAAAAAAAUUAUGGUCAGAAGAACUUAAUGUUGUAAAUGUAUAUUUAAAACUUGGAAAAUUAUAUCUCUAUUUAUGCCUAGCUUGUUGAAGAUAAAUAUAAAUACAUGUUGGUGUGUAAAAUGCUCUGCCUUAGGGUCAGGUGAUCUAUCCCCUGAGAAGAAAAUUAAGACGGGUCAAUGCACACAUACUUAUGGAUAUUGAGAACACACUGUCAUGCACCACAAGCUCUAAUGACCUUCACAAAGCUCUCAACUGCAACAAUUUAAUCUAGUUCAGCAAUGUUAUCUAGUUCAUUGCAUGUUUGUCAAUCUUGGAAAUCAAAUCUCUACCCUAGAGACCUCAAUAAACGGGUAAGUGGGCCACCAAUCAAUAUUCUAAUUUUUCUUUUCUUCAAGUUAGCCAAAAAUGAGAUGCAUACUUAUGGGGCUGAGUCCAAAACUUGAUUGCCUGUCAAGGGGGUCUCUUCUGAGAGCUGUGCACUUAGGUCAACUAGUGGUGAUUUCUUACAUGUUUGUCUCUUGCAGAUCACUGUCUGAGCCAUUUGUGACCUACAGGAAAAAUCAGUCUUAGUCCAAAGGCUAUUUCAGGGAAGAGAUUCCAAAGAGGAAAUCCAAUGACAACAUCACUGGCAUACAACUCUCAGAAAGAGAAUGUUCCUUGCCAGGGAUCCAAUGGGUACUGUCCUUUGAUAGAAGCAAUCAGCAAACUUACAGUUCUUUAGAGGUGUGUGUGUAUGUGUGUGGGGGGGUGUUUAAGAUUGUGCUGGGAAAGUGAGGACAUAGGAUCUCUAAGUUAUAAACCUGAUUCUAAAUGCAGUUCUGAAGUUUCAGGGGUAAUUCAUAAUGUCUAAGUUCACACAAGGGGAGGAGUCUCUAUGAUUUUUGUAACACCAAUAAACAUGUGAAUUGUGGUAAAGUUACAGGUAUUCAAGAUCCAGGAGUUCUUAAUAAUAAUGUGGGUCAGGGGACAGAUUUACCUAUUAAGAAGAUCUAGAGUGGUGCAUGCCUGUUAUCCCAGCAGUUCGGGAGGCUGAGGCCGAAGGAUUGAGAGUUCAAAGCCAGCCUCAGCAAAAGCAAGGUGCUAAGCAACUCAGUGAGACCCUGUCUCUAAAUAAAAUACAAAAUAGGACUGUGGAUUUGGCUCAGUGGCUGAGUGCCCCUGAGUUCAAUCCUUGGAAAACCCCCCUCCAAAAAAAGAUCUAGGGUUCUGCAUUUGAAGCUGCCAGCCUGUAGCUUUUAGGAAAGGAAAAAAAGUUCAAGUCAUUUUGGGGAAACUUUGCAAGUAUAGUCAUCAGAGUUUAAGCUUCUAGGCACUAGAAGCUCUUAAAAUCUACUUUUCAUUCCAAGUUAAUAAAACAAAAUCCCAAGUUUGCACCAAGUUAAUGGUUAUGUACCACCAAUAUGGGGAGAGCAAGCUGAGGCUAACCCAGAAACAACCCCAGGACUCAGAGGGGGGAUAGAAGGAGGUUCUGCCACAGUUGGCAUGUUGAGGCAGGGCCUCUGCAUGGAUAGACAUGGUAGAGGAGGAGGAGGUCAGGUUUUGAAGAUGAGGGUCUAGAAAAUGAUAUUGCGGCCCAGGAGUUUGUAAGUGUGACUCCAGUCCCAAGAAGGGCAAGAAAGAAUAAAGGAGCAGGGGACUUGCACACAAGGAAACAAAGAGGGAACCUACUUCCUAGAACUGAGGCACAAGUUAGAGCAGGGCCAACAGUUGGGGCAAUUUGCUGUGGGGCCUGUGAGCUGCCUGGUUGGGUCUUGCAUCCUAAUGGAGAUAACAAGACCCAGAGCCUUUGAUGGAGUAGAAUCUGUAGAAGAGGUUAAGGCUGGUCAAGGCUGGUCUGACAGGCAGGGAGUUAAGCUCACCAAAACACUGACAGAUAAAUGUCUUCUUCUUUGCUUUCAGCCAUUCUGGUCUCAGUGGUUUCAGGAAACACACACAUGUAAAACUCCAUGUCCUUGAACUCAAAGUAACCAUGCUCUCAGGGAAAUAACAAUUAUCAUUCUCAACAUUCUUUUAUAGCUGUGAAAGCAUAGCUUUGCUAUUUAUAAAAGUUGAGGUAGUAGUGUUCAUUCUUUACUUGUCCUAUUUGAUUUUGAAAAAUAAAAGUACUCCAUAAUUUUUAAAGUGAGUAGACAUCAAUGGAUUUUUUUUUUUGUAUGAAGUCCUAAUUUGGGGUUGCAAAGUCAUUUUUUCUUCUAAGUGUUAGAUCUCAUGAUUCAAAGAGUCAACUUCCAUGUAAAUUCCCAUAUGUCUCAAAUAUAGGUACUGCAAAGCCAGUCCUGACAGGUCAGAUUUUUAUAUUUAUAGGCAUAAAUAGUGAACCAAACCAUUUAAGCAUUUUUGGUUUCAUGAGAUUGUAGUUUUUUUAAGUGAUCAAAGCAAGGAUGUUGUUUAUAGGUUAAAGAAGUUUUAAUUUAUUCAAUAAAAUGUGUAUGGAAUGGAUAAGAAUGUGUUGUAUAUAAUCAAUGAUUUUUUUUUACUUCUUUUGGUUGAUAUGAAUAAAUACUAUCUGAAUUGAAAUUAAA
rnacentral:lncRNA from 1 species